rnacentral:rRNA from 1 species
GUGGGGAAUAUUGCGCAAUGGGGGAAACCCUGACGCAGCAACGCCGCGUGAAGGAUGAAGGCUUUCGGGUUGUAAACUUCUUUGAUCGGGGACGAAAAUGACGGUACCCGAGGAACAAGCCACGGCUAACUACGUGCCAGCAGCCGCGGUAAUACGUAGGUGGCAAGCGUUGUCCGGAAUUACUGGGUGUAAAGGGCGUGUAGGCGGGACGGCAAGUCAGAUGUGAAAUACCUCGGCUUAACUGGGGUGCUGCAACUGAAACUGUCGUUCUUGAGUGUCGGAGAGGAAAGUGGAAUUCCCAGUGUAGCGGUGAAAUGCGUAGAGAUUGGGAGGAACACCAGUGGCGAAGGCGGCUUUCUGGACUGUGUCUGACGCUGAGAUGCGAAAGCCAGGGUAGCGAACGGGAUUAGAAACCCGAGUAGUCC